AUUGAACGCUGGCGGCAGGCUUAACACAUGCAAGUCGAGCGGGGUGAUGGUGCUUGCACUAUCACUUAGCGGCGGACGGGUGAGUAAUGCUUAGGAAUCUGCCUAUUAGUGGGGGACAACAUCUCGAAAGGGAUGCUAAUACCGCAUACGUCCUACGGGAGAAAGCAGGGGAUCACUUGUGACCUUGCGCUAAUAGAUGAGCCUAAGUCGGAUUAGCUAGUUGGUGGGGUAAAGGCCUACCAAGGCGACGAUCUGUAGCGGGUCUGAGAGGAUGAUCCGCCACACUGGGACUGAGACACGGCCCAGACUCCUACGGGAGGCAGCAGUGGGGAAUAUUGGACAAUGGGGGGAACCCUGAUCCAGCCAUGCCGCGUGUGUGAAGAAGGCCUUAUGGUUGUAAAGCACUUUAAGCGAGGAGGAGGCUCUUUUGGUUAAUACCCAAGAUGAGUGGACGUUACUCGCAGAAUAAGCACCGGCUAACUACGUGCCAGCAGCCGCCGUAA
rnacentral:rRNA from 1 species